rnacentral:rRNA from 1 species
UAGGGAAUCUUCGGCAAUGGACGGAAGUCUGACCGAGCAACGCCGCGUGAGUGAAGAAGGUUUUCGGAUCGUAAAGCUCUGUUGUAAGAGAAGAACGAGUGUGAGAGUGGAAAGUUCACACUGUGACGGUAUCUUACCAGAAAGGGACGGCUAACUACGUGCCAGCAGCCGCGGUAAUACGUAGGUCCCGAGCGUUAUCCGGAUUUAUUGGGCGUAAAGCGAGCGCAGGCGGUUAGAUAAGUCUGAAGUUAAAGGCUGUGGCUUAACCAUAGUACGCUUUGGAAACUGUUUAACUUGAGUGCAAGAGGGGAGAGUGGAAUUCCAUGUGUAGCGGUGAAAUGCGUAGAUAUACGGAGGAACACCGGUGGCGAAAGCGGCUCUCUGGCUUGUAACUGACGCUGAGGCUCGAAAGCGUGGGGAGCAAACAGGAUUAGAUACCCCAGUAGUCCCUGAGCGGGCUGGCAAGGCGCAU